rnacentral:lncRNA from 1 species
UUUUUUUUUUUUUUUUUUUUUUUUUUUUUUUUUUUGUCUUUUUGCCAUUCCCUGGGCCGCUCCUGUGGCAUAUGGCGGUUCCCAGACUAGGGGUCCAAUCGGAGCUGUAGCCCCCGGCCUACGCCCGACCCACAGCAACGUGCGAUCUGAGCUGCGUCUGUAACCUACACCACAGCUCACAGCCACGCCGGAUCAUUAACCCACUGAGCAAGGCCAGGGAUCAAACCCGAAACCUCAUGGUUCUUAGAUUUGUUAACCACUGUGCCACGACGGGAACUCCAGGUAUCUCAUUUUCAUAGCUUCAUAGGUCUCCCCUGACUUUGUAGCUGGUCAGCUUUUACUGCUUGAAACUGGCCCCAGAGGUACAGAUGCCCUUCUGAGAUGAGCUGGACAAUUCCCUUUCCUCUUAAUACGUGUCCUGGGGAGUCAAAAGGAAAAGUACUCAGCCCCCUGCCAUGCACUCCUAUUGCCUUUCACCUGUGCCUCCCUCCCUCCCGUCCCCCCCCAUUACAAAUGCCCACGAGGAGUAUGAUGCUAAAUUGCAGAGUUGUGACCUCUAGUCUGGUAUCCUGCAGGAAGCAGAGGAGACAAGCCACUUCCUUGCCCGCCCCCCCACCGCCAUCUGGGGAACCCCCCUCUGAGGAAGCCUUUCUAGACACUCAGGCCUUUCUCUUCCCACUAUUCCAGUUACUGCUCCCAUUUUAAAAGCAGAAGUACCGCAGGAGCUAAGAUUAUCUCUCAUUGGCCGGGAGAUUCAAACAGCCAGACCCUCACAAAUUCUUCCGGCCUUUAGAAAUAGGGUGACAUUUCAUUCCUUUUCAUGUUAAAGUUUAUGGAUUAAUCCCAAACCUCUCUGGGGAUGGAUUGGGAGAUAGUGGACUCAGGGAUCUAGCUCCAUGGCGAUGAUGGUGCUUAGAAGUCACAGGUUUGUGGCGCUUAACCCUGCAGUAACUAGUGCUUUAGGAUGCGUUGUCACUCGAGAGAAGUGUAUCUGUAUCUUUUAGGGCCAGAAGCUGGAGAUAGUUCUUUGGAGUGACAGCUCCUUGCUCCAAAAGAGAGAAUGAACACUUACCAUGUACUUAGGAUGCACUUUCUUUACUGCCCUGUGAUGAAAGGUCCUUAUGCCAUGGAAUUCUCAUGCAGCAAACACAAGAAUGUCCCUUGUAAAUCUCCAACUCCAGGGAGGGUAGUUGACCAAGGGUUCCAAUCGGUUCCAUAAACACUGAGCUCCUUCUCUGCAUCCAACCAACGUCCCUGCGGUGGCUCCCAGCCAGUCACUGAGCUUGACAGCGAGAGUAAAGGAGACUGAACCCUGGGAGAUACUGCACUCUUUGAAAUUGUGACUUGAUGACUCCCUGAUGGUCCUGCUGAAUCUUCCUGAGACUGCGUGCUGGUCUAGGAUACUUCGCUCCUCUCUGCUCCUUUGGGAGGCUUGGACUUGUUAUGUGGUCUGAUGCCUCUGGCAGGCUCCCUGGCUCCCUUCCUGUUUUCUCUCUAACAAAAUUCCUUCAUCCUAUGUAAUCUCACCUUGGUGCCUGCUUCUCAGAGGACGGCCGCUAACAUAUAGUCACAGGCACCAGGAACGAUCUCUCUGGGAGAUGAGAAUGCAACUGGUUAAAGCUCUCUUGGCCUGCACAAACUCAGGUAGGCGAUUACUCAUUUUGCAUUGAAAGGUAAGACCUGAAGUAUCAAAUGCAGCCCAGAGAACCUGCGGAACGCGCAGCUUUUUCCCCCUUGGUUUUGGAGCCUUCUGUCUGUGUGCAGAAUUCACUUUACUCCAGAAAUGUGUUGCCUUUCAACUCCUCACCAUGGAAUCUGUGUACAGCCCUCUAGGUAACAGGAGUUGACAUUUACCGCUAAACCUCCUCUUGAAUCGCUCUGCGGGAGGCCAUCCGUGGCUCAGAAAUAUUUGCUUAAAUUUGAUUCAACAAAUAUUUAUUGAGCAUCUGUCAUAUGCCAAGUGCCAGGGAUACUGGAAUGAAAAAAAGAUGAGCAAAAUUUCUACCCUCCUUGAGAUGAUUCCUGGUGGGGAACCCAAUGAACAAACCCAUAGAUACGUAAUCAGCUUUCACACAAUGGAAUGAGAAAUCGAUGCUAACCAUCAACAAUAAGCCAAGCCAAGAACAUUCCAAACAGAAGAAAGAAGAUGUGUCCCUGUCAUGCACUCGAAUGAAGAAUUGGUUCUGACCAGGGAUGAAGGAAGGAUGGCUGCAGAGAGAAAGCGACGCUGAGCUGAAUCUGGCACACAGUAGGCAAACAAAUUUUGACUUCAUGAAAAGGUGAAAAAAAAGAAUUCAACUCUUUUGCAAGAUGAAGAGCUGAUAAGUGGACAAGACACAGCGAGGACUUGGCUAUAGGCUUUGAACCUGCAGAGGGAAAGAGUGACACCAGCGAUACAUGCUCUUGCUUUAUGCUCUCGGGCUGGAGCCUGUAAUCCUGUUGGAGUCGUUAAUCUGGUUGCAGUUCGCUCUUAUCCAAUUCUGUAUGCUUCUUAGAUCCGGAAACAGGCGUGCUCAGGCCUUGUGGGUCCAUCUGCUCUGCCCGGUUAGGUGUCGUCCCGCCACCCGAGAAGAAUCCAUUGGAUCCGGUAAAGGCUUCGCGUUCCUUCUCAGCCACAAAGACAGCGCCGCAUUUCAAACUGCCCAGAGCCCCGGAGUCUACCCCGUGGGCUCUGCUGACCAGCCUCAGGGGGCCACGCUCUGCGUCAGCUUCUGCGUCACUCAGGACACCAUUGCCCCUUGAGUCCUCAUUACUGUCCUCCAAAAUGUUAAAAAUAUGAUUCUCCUAUGAGGGUUAACAUAGUAAAAUCCAGAGUUUCCAUGUGCCUCGGGGGGUUAAGGAUCCGACGUCACGGCAGUGGCUCAGGUUGGUGCUGAGGCACAGGUUCAAUCCUUGCUGUGAGGACUUGCAGACAAAAAAAAAAAAAGAAAAAAAAU